GCAUGGCCAUUCUUAGUGGGUGGAGCGUUUUGUCUGGUUAAUUCCGAUAACGAACGAGACUCUAGCCUAUUAAAUAGGUGCGUGGUCCUCUGCACCUUGCACCCUUCUCAGAGGGACAAGCGGCUCCUAGCCGUACGAAACAGAGCAAUAACAGAUCUGUGAU
rnacentral:rRNA from 1 species